UUUUGUCUGCAUUAUGAAAGAGAAGACUCUUGAUAAUUUAAAAGACAGUCAUGAGAUUCUCAUUGUAACCUAGUUGGUUAAGAACAGCACCCCUCAGGUAUUCAAUGAUGAUACACGAUAUUUAAAGAUAUGUUUUCAUGUCAAUUUACAGUAGUUUCACGAGGUAAAGGAUACCAUGUCGAUAUCAACAUUAUAUUAUCUCAUCACCCAAAAUAACAUUUCG
rnacentral:lncRNA from 1 species